rnacentral:rRNA from 1 species
UUACUGGCUCAGGAUGAACGCUGGCGGCGUGCCUAACACAUGCAAGUCGAACGGACUUUCAUCUUAGAGGCUUCGGCCAAAGAGGUUAAGUAGUGGCGGACGGGUGAGUAACGCGUGGAGAACCUGCCUCAUGCUGGGGGAUAACAGUGAGAAAUCACUGCUAAUACCGCAUAAGCGCACGAAGGCGCAUGCCUUUGUGUGAAAAAACUCCGGUGGCAUGAGAUGGCUCCGCGUUGGAUUAGCCAGUUGGCGGGGUAACGGCCCACCAAAGCAUCGAUCCAUAGCCGGCCUGAGAGGGUGAACGGCCACAUUGGGACUGAGACACGGCCCAGACUCCUACGGGAGGCAGCAGUGGGGAAUAUUGCACAAUGGGGGAAACCCUGAUGCAGCGACGCCGCGUGAAGGAAGAGGUAUCUCGGUAUGUAAACUUCUAUCGACAGGGAAGAUAAUGACGGUACCUGAAUAAGAAGCCCCGGCUAACUACGUGCCAGCCGCAGC